rnacentral:rRNA from 1 species
GCCAGACUCCUACGGGAGGCAGCAGUGAGGAAUAUUGGUCAAUGGUCGGGAGACUGAACCAGCCAAGCCGCGUGAGGGAUGAAGGUCCAGAGUAUCGCAAACCUCUUUUGUCGGGGAGCAACGGGGUCCUUGCGAGGGCCCGAUGAGAGUACCCGGAGAAAAAGCAUCGGCUAACUCCGUGCCAGCAGCCGCGGUAAUACGGAGGAUGCGCGCGUUAUCCGGUUUUAUUGGGUUUAAAGGGUGCGUAGGCGGGCGGUUAAGUCAGGGGUCAAAGGUCGGGGCUCAACCCGGGCCGGCCGUUGAAACUGGCGGCCUCGAGUGGGCGAGAAGUAUGCGGAAUGCGCAGUGUAGCGGUGAAAUGCUUAGAUAUUGCGCAGAACUCCGAUUGCGAAGGCAGCAUACCGGCGGCGAUCUGACGCUGAGGCACGAAAGCGUGGGUAUCGAACAGGAUUAGAUACCCCAGUAAG